GGCCUUUUGUUAAUAAUUUAAGGUCUAACCUGCCCACUGAGGAGUUAAAUGGCCGCGGUAUUUUGACCGUGCUAAGGUAGCAUAAUCAUUAGUUUUUUAAUUGAAAGCUGGUAUGAAUGGUUGAAUGAGAAAAUAGCUGUCUCAAUAUUAAUUUUUAUGAAUUUUAUUUUUAAGUCAGAAAGCUUAAAUUAUUUUAGAAGACGAGAAGACCCUAUAGAGUUUUAUAUUUUUAUUAAUUUAUGGAUUUGGGAUUUUUAAUUUAAUUUAAUAAAUGUAUUUGAUUGGGGUGAUUGAAAAAUUUAUUAAACUUUUUUAUAAUUUAACCAUUUAUUUAUGAAUAUUUGAUCCGUAGUUUAUUUUGCGAUUAAUAGAAAAAAUUACCUUAGGGAUAACAGCGUAAUUUUUUUUGAGAGUUCUUAUCGAAAAAGAAGUUUGCGACCUCGAUGUUGGAUUAAAAUUAAUUUUUGGUGUAGAAGCUAAAAUAUUAGGUCUGUUCGACCUUUAAAAUUUUACAUGA
rnacentral:rRNA from 1 species